rnacentral:rRNA from 1 species
CAGCCGCCGCGGUAAUACGGAGGGUGCAAGCGUUAAUCGGAAUUACUGGGCGUAAAGCGCCCGCAGGCGGUCUGUCAAGUCAGAUGUGAAAUCCCCGGGCUUAACCUGAGACCUGCAUUUGAAACUGGCAGGCUGGAGUCUUGUAGAGGGGGGUAGAAUUCCAGGUGUAGCGGUGAAAUGCGUAGAGAUCUGGAGGAAUACCGGUGGCGAACGCGGCCCCCUGGACAAAGACUGACGCUCAGGUGCGAAAGCGUGGGGAGCAAACAGGAUUAGAUACCCGUGUAGUCCCUGUCUCUUAUAA